GAUCCAAGAUUUCAGACUGAUUUGCUCACGAUCAAGGGUGUAGCAUUGUUUGUAGUAGCUAUCCUUAUAUAUAAUAUUAACAAUCAAAUAUAGUAGUUGAAAGAAAAAAUCUCUGGAAAAAGUGUAUCAUGCCCGAAUCUAAUUGGGGUUUGCCGUGGUGGAGGAACUGGGCUCGAAAGAGAUCAAACGCGGAGGAGAAGGAAGUCGAGUGCUGCAGACAAAUGCCGCUGCCAGUGGACUUUCUCCUUCGGCAAUUCUUCUAAUUUUAGAGCCACAAGAGUUUGACUGUUUUGAUGCUUCAGAUUAUCUUCUUUGGAAAGAUGACUCCAGGGGUGAUUAUAAGGUAAUAACAUAUGGCAAAUGCACCCCGAGGGAUAGUUUAAGUGGUAAAAGAUGAAACUUCAUUAUGAGAACAUGAGUUCAAGUUUUCUUUGAUAACAUAUCAAAAUUAAACUUUUGAUUUAACUAAUUUAGUAGUUGCGGGCCUUAAUUUCUUAAUUUUUUCUGUAAUAGUAAAUAUUAGGCCAUUCAAUUAUGCUGUAUCCAGUGUGAAAUCUAGGAAAUUUAUGUGGUAUUAAGUUGAUGUGCACUCUAGUGGUUGGAUGUCUAUCUCAAGGCCAUUGAUAAAAUAUGGAUAGACUGAUGAAGAACUAACAGUGCAAUUGGCAGAAACCAAGUAACACAACUUCGGCGCCAAUUGAGCACUACAGUGCAUAGUUUGGGAUCCUGUAAGCUGUUUAUUAAGGAUAUCUUAUGCAUCUAUGAAUUUCCAUUUUGUUUGUCAUGAA